CCAGAUUUGAGAAGUAAGCUACCAGACUUGAGAUGUAAGCUGCUAGACUUGAGACUUGAGUGCCAGACUUGAGUGCCUAAGAGUGAAAUUCGUGCAACUUGAGAGGCAAAUUUUAAUUCAAAUUAGGUUCUGACCUUUGGAGAGAGAUGCUAGACAAGUGGGGAUUAAAAUAACAUGUUGGAGAGAAGAGAGAUGGCUGUUAGGAACUGUCACUAUCACAUUGGAAGCUCUCCUGCAUCUCAGUCAUCCAAUUCAAAUUAAUUCAGAUCCUCCCAUCCCAACCAUUCAUUUUGACUCUAGAUCUAUCUCUCUUUGUCUUCUUCUUCUCAUUUGUCUAGUGUGUGUGUUGGCUAUAAAGAGCUCUCGUUGUAAUCAAUUAUAAUCUAAGCUGAAAGAGGGGAGUUCCCCUUUCUUUUUCACCAUUCUCUUCUCUCUUGGUUAUUGUCAAUCUCUAUAAUCUCUUGAUACUCAUACUCUCUUAUUCUCAACUUAAUUUACUCUUCAUCACUUAUCUCUCUGUUUACUGUGUUUUUCAUUGUCUUUUACUCUCGUAUUAAUCAUCUUUUCUUACAUGGUAUCAGAGCUUUAAGCUCCUGAACCUCACAAAAGCUUCCGCAAAUCUAAUUCAUUCUCAGUUCAUCUUCAUCUGAGUCUGGUACAACCUUUUGUCCAGCGGUCCAAAGGUUUUCCAAGAAGGAAGAACCCACAACCAGCUCUAAGGCAAGGUGUAUACAAGUUUCUAAGCCUCAAGAACCCUCAUCAAGCUCAACCAGUUCAGUCUACCACUCAUUUGUCUUGAAGAUUCUUGAGCACACUCUUUUAUCCAGCGGUCUAUUGUUUUCCAAAGUUUCCAAUCUCUUUUCCCCUGUCAAAUAUGGUGAAGAAACCACUUGAAAGCAAAAGUUUAUGGAGUAGUUUGCCUAGCAAAGCUUCAAAACUACCUUGUACAAGUGGUUCUCUUUCUCUAUCCAAGAAGAGAGCUUCCAAGAAGGUGGCGACUCUCAAGCAUGAAGAAAGGAGGAGACUUUGGUGUGAUGGAUACAAGAAGGAGGUCAUGUACUUAAAGAGAAUGAGUUGGAGUUCAACUCAACAUCUCAGAUCCAACAAAUUGUCAUGACCCAUGUGUAUUGGAGGUUCAAGGAACCAACUCAGGUUCCUUGGUUGUAAGUUAAACCUUUCCUUCUUGAUAUGAGUUUGGGAUAAUGGUUCUGGUUAUGUUGAGUGGUGUGUUUAGUAUACUUGGGACAUGUUCAAGUUGCUAGAGUUGUUGAACCUAGUUCAUGUCUCAAGAUACUUAAGUUGUGUUUGUUGAUUCUGUUUUUAAAUGAUUUCUAAGUUUACCAGCAUGGUUAUGACUAGUUAUUGUUUUAGGUCCAUUGUUUGAGUUGUGUAAGGUCUAGGCGAGUUGUCUAGAACAUAUUUUGUGUCUUGUUGCAUUGCUAGAAGUCUAGGAGAGUUUCCUGGUCUUGUAAUGCAUCUAUAUGUUGUUUCUAGUCUUGUUUGCAUCCAUAUGUUGUUUCUGGUCCUGUGAUGCAUUCAUGAACUGCUUGGGAUGAUUAGAUGAGUUAUCUAGUCCAUGUUUUGACAUUUAAUUAAUCAUGUUGUUACUUAAAUGGUCAUUAAAAAUAGCCUAAAUGCCUUGUAAUUGAUGAGUUAUCAUACCUGAGCAUUUAGUGAAUAGUUUGCAUGAAUUUGAACUGAAUGAGUUGUUUAGAUUCUAUCUAUUGCAUUUUCUUAAAACAUUGGGAUCAGGAUUGGUGAGUUACCAAGGUCUGAUCCUAGUGCGUGUGGUCUGAUUCUUGCUGGAGUUUGAGUGAUGUUUCAGGUACACAAGUGUUGUUCUCUGUCCAUCAUCAAAUCAAGACAAAGACGAAGACUUUGCCCAUGCUGUUCAGAGCCUACACAUGUGUACAUUCCUGUAUGAUCCAGAGCCUACACAGAGUGUAUAUUUUUUACCAUGGAGAGAUUGUUUGUGUGAGGAGUCCAGAUGGUAAUAAGUCGUGGCUGAGAUAGAAUAUGGCUGAGCAUUGAAGAUACUUCAGAAAGGAGUAUUGAUGGAGAGGCAGACCAGUGUUUGAUCAGCCAUCCACCAGGCUGAAUCUCCUCAUGAAUUGCAAGAACCAGUUGACUUAAACGCAGACCGUUUGGUUAUUGAGUUCCUGGUUCAAAAGAUUUACAAGAGGCAGGGGAGAAGAGAUCAAGGGAGGAACCAGUAAGCUUAAGCGCAGCUGUUAGGGUGAUGCGCUCCUGGUUUCAAGACUCAGUGUUGCUCACUUCCAAGCUUGGUCCUUCACUCAUUUUCUCCGGAUCAAGCUUGAGGAGGGGUAAUGGUGAGCAAUCCUGAAGGUCCAAUUCAUCUGUUGCCUCAGUUACCUCUAAAGGCAUUGGAGCAGAGACCAAGGGUGGAUCAGUUAUCUUAAGCGCAGGUGUUGGUAUUGUUGUGCUCCUGGUUUAGGUUCAGUAUUGCUCACUUUCCAAGAUUGGUCCUUCACUUAUACUCUUUGGAGCAAGCUUGAGGAGGGGUAAUGGUGAGCAUCAUUCCUGAAGGUUCAAGUCGUCCAUUGCCUCACCAGAGAUCAGAAGUGGAGUUGAAGUGGAGUUCACCAGCCAUCUAGAACCCACUACAAAGAAACAUCAACAUGGACAGCAACAACUUGGUGUUAGAACAGAUGGCCAUCAUAGACUACUUGACAAGAAAAUCAGGUGGAGCUGAGUGGAAUGCUAUGGAUCAGCCCAAGGCGUGGAGUUAGAACAAUUACCUUCUGGUUGGGAAGUUAUGGAUCAACUAUUAUAUAGAGUUAGAGCAGUUACCUUCAGUUGGAACAAUACCUUCUGGUUGGGAAGCUAUGGAUCAGCUACUAUAUGGAAUUAGAACAGAUACCUUCAGUUGGGAAGUUUUGAAUCAGCCCAUAGCAUGUGUGCUUGUACCUGGUUGAUGAAGUUUAAGGAAGCCAGCAAAUGGUGAUUUGCAAUCUGGCCACAUAUAUGCAAGGACACAAGGAGUAUUCAACUAGGGAUUUUCUUGGCUGAGCAAUCACAUGAUGGUGACAGAUCAUGGAGUUGCAACGUCCCCCUACAUGUUGAAAGCUUCAAGAGUGACAAUGCACAGACUGGUUGAGAAGCAGCUGGUGUGAGGGAUUCAAGUGUUCAGUACUCCUCACCAGCAUUCCAGAAAUGUUUACAAGGUACCUAUUGAGCUCAUGAGAAAAGGCAGGCUUGGAUUCAACCCUAAAUGGAAGCAAGAAGCUAGAAGAAAGGGGGAGACAAGCUCUGGUCAUAAGAAGAAGCUCAAAGGUUGUUUUAAGUGUGAAGCAAUGAAAGCAUUAGAGUCUGCUAGCCAUUGAAGUAAGGCCAUGAUCCAGAGUUUAUGAGUCCCUCAACAUCAUCAUAAGGCUCAUAAACUCACUGGCCAAUCCAUAGCCAGAGAGGCUUGUACUCUUUUCCUAAGUGUGGUUUUAUCCCAAAGGGUUUUCUAUGUUUAGGUUUUUAAUGAGGCAAGUACUCUCAGUUCCAAGUUUGCCCAAGGAUCUCUUAUGGUCAAGCUUGAGGGGGAGUGUUGACAUGAAGCAUAAUUAAACUGCUAGACUUGAGAAUUAAGCUGCCAGACUUGAGAAGUAAGCUACCAGACUUGAGAUGUAAGCUGCCAGACUUGAGACUUGAGUGCCAGACUUGAGUGCCUAAGAGUGAAAUUCGUGCAACUUGAGAGGCAAAUUUUAAUUCAAAUUAGGUUCUGACCUUUGGAGAGAGAUGCUAGACAAGUGGGGAUUAAAAUAACAUGUUGGAGAGAAGAGAGAUGGCUGUUAGGAACUGUCACUAUCACAUUGGAAGCUCUCCCGCAUCUCAGUCAUCCAAUUCAAAUUAAUUCAGAUCCUCCCAUCACAACCAUUCAUUUUGACUCUAGAUCUAUCUCUCUUUGUCUUCUUCUUCUCAUUUGUCUAGUGUGUGUGUUGGCUAUAAAGAGCUCUCGUUGUAAUCAAUUAUAAUCUAAGCUGAAAGAGGGGAGUUCCCCUUUCUUUUUCACCAUUCUCUUCUCUC
rnacentral:lncRNA from 1 species